rnacentral:lncRNA from 10 species
AAACUCUCCUUGUACUUUGCUCUGUGUGUGUUUGGUGGAAAUAUUAUUUUUAAACAGCCAUUUACUCUGAAAAAAUAUGAUUUUGCAUUAAAUUAGUUUUAAAGUUAAGGGAUAUAUAUAAGACCUUUUUAUUAACAAGUUGAUGAGAUGAGCAUUAGUAUACCUAUAGGAAGUUUUUGAAUGAGUGCCAAUUCUGAAUUUACAAAUCAACAUUUCUUCUCUCCAGCUUUCUUUAGCUUGCCCAUGGUGAUGUGAAGAUGAGAAGAAAUAGCAAGGCCCAACCAGUUCUUCAUCUGGAGACAGUUCAACGUUCUGCAAACCAGCUGGGUGACACGUUGGUGUGUGGACCUCCCAGCAGCUAGAGACCA